AAAAUAUUGUCAGCUAUUGGACUCCUUUGUAUUCGAAGAAUAUUUUACCAGUAAAAAGUUUUGAAUAAAUCUGUAUGAAAUAUUUGUUAUUCGUUAUAAGCAGUAUAAAUUCGAGUACUUAACAACAUUCAGUGCAGGUUGUUACAGGUUGAAGUAAAAAAUUAUCAAAAUGUCUGAUUACGGCGCAGGUACUGUUUGGCGCAAGAUGACACCCAAAGACAGCCCGGCCAAGUCGGAAUCAGUGGUUCUUUAUGCGAGACGUCAAGGAAUACCCGUAGAAACAACACAAAAAUAUGCACCGGGUACCGACGAGCAACAUGUAACCACAAAGAAUACUACCAAAUCUGAUCGUGAGGCUGAAGAACAAACAAAGAACAAAACAAUCAAAAAGAAGAACAAAAAAUCGUCUGGCGCGUUACGCAAAGCACGCUACCUGAAAGCCAAACACAUUUUGGCUAAGGUAUACAAGAAUGAAAUGGCCGGCAUAACACAUGAACGCGAUGCAGCGGACAAGGUCACCUAUGAGGCCGUGGUGCGCGAGUACGAAGCUAUGUUAUCGAACAAAUCUAACGACCAUCAAAAAAAUAUCAUUCCUCAAAAUCAACCACCGGCUAUGGGCAACCGAUCACAAGAUGUGAGCGGGCGUGCUGCCAAUUUCCAGGGUUUUGAGGGCCCUACAAACCGCUCAAAAGAUGUGAGCGGGCGUGCUGCCAAUUGCCAGGGUGUUGAGAGCCUUACAAACCGAUCACAACAUGUGAGCGGGCGUGCUGCCAAUUUCCAGGGUUUUGAAGGCCCUACAAACCGAUCGCAAGAUGUGAGCGGGCAUGCUGCCAAUUGCCAGGGUGUUGUGGGCCCUACAAACCGAUCACAACAUGUGAGCGGGCGUGAUGCCAAUUGCCAGGCUGUUGAGAGCCCUACAACAAGUGCGGCGGCUACGGCUAGCGAGGGGACCAGGGAUCAUCUCCAAGUAGCCCUCGUAGAUGCAAAAUCCUAUAAUGGCAGGCGGGUGCUAGACCAUUGGGGUGAAAUUGAGGCACGGCUGUCAGGCAUGGUCGUCGAAUACCUCAUGGCAAACAAAGGACAGGUCCCUCUCUUCGACUCGGCAGAAGUUUGUCGCGGUUGUAGAGUAAUCAGAUGUGCCGAUGAGUUUUCCAAGAGAUUUCUGGAGAAGUGCGUUGCUGAGGUCAGCAAUGCCUGGGAGGGGAUUUCGCUUAAACUAAUUCCUGCAUCGGAUAUCCCUAAGAGACCCAGAGCGCGCAUUUGGUUGCCGAAAUUGGAGCUGGAUGGUCAGAAAGUCCUCCAAUGCCUCAAACUUCAAAACCCUGAGGUUCCUAUGCACAGCUGGUCUGUGAUCAAGUUAGAGGAACCUCAGAAAAACAGCUCCACAGUCUUACUGCUUAUUUCCAACGAUUCUCUGGACGUACUCGAGCAAAAACAGUAUAAACUUCGCUUUGGCCUCAGAAUGGCCAAAGUUAAGGUCUUGCCCGCGUCUGUUACCCCGGAUGGCGACUUUCACGAAAUAGAAGAUACCAAACAACCCGACGAACUGUGGCUGUCUGCGACGGAUGCGGUUCCAGAGUUCAUGGACUCCAUGACAUUUCCGGAAGCCAUGGAAUAGGCUUAAGUGAGCUUAUCUUAACAAAGUCAUGUUAAGAAUAACUCUUUCUAGCCACCGAUAACCUCUGUGUCAUCCUCAGGGAGGAUGACAUUGAUUUCUGCUUCAUCCAAGAACCCAGGCGGUUCUAAGAUCAUGGGUCUCUAGAGCUUCCCUUAACAAAGGAAUGUUAAGAGUAGCUCAGAUAAACCUUCACCAUGCUAGUCUAGCUACCGAUAACCUCUGUGUCAUCCUCAGGGAGGAAGACAUUGAUAUCUGCUUCAUCCAAUAACCCAGACCGUUCUAAGAUCAUGGGUCUCUAGAGCCCAAGCUCACCAAACGUAGUGGUGGUACGGGUAGAACCAUCUAUUGGCCGUUGCUACUAUUUAAUUUCUGCAUACGUGGUGCAGCAUCUCCUGAGGAAAUGUAGCGUUUGGUGGACUCACUGUCAUCUGGAAGAGAGGCCAUCCUCAUCGGCUGCGAUGCCAAUGGCAGACAUGCCAUUUGGGCAAGCAGCGAGAUUAACGCUCGAGUAUCCGGUUUCGAAUUUUUAUGUAACUUAUACAUCACUAGCAGUGGUAUGCAUAAUUCCAUGUGAAGUUGGCAACGAUGUACGUGAAAAAUCACGCGAAAUGAUGAACUGUCAAAUGGAAUCAGUAAAAAUAUCGUCAUAUAUUCGACUUUUCUGGAAUCGAAAAAUAUUUUGCCAGUAGAAAGUUUUGAAUAAAUCUGUAUGAAACAUUUGUUAUUCGUUUAAAGCACGUUUCACCAGUAUAACUUGGAGUACUUUAGACAUACAGUGCUUCAGAUUUGUCACUAAAUUAGCAAUAGGUGGUUGGAGUUAAAAAUUAUCAAAAGUAAAAUGU